GAUGAACGCUGGCGGCGUGCCUAAUACAUGCCAGUCGAGCGAACAGACGAGGAGCUUGCUCCUCUGACGUUAGCGGCGGACGGGUGAGUAACACGUGGAUAACCUACCUAUAAGACUGGGAUAACUUCGGGAAACCGGAGCUAAUACCGGAUAAUAUAUUGAACCGCAUGGUUCAAUAGUGAAAGACGGUUUUGCUGUCACUUAUAGAUGGAUCCGCGCCGCAUUAGCUAGUUGGUAAGGUAACGGCUUACCAAGGCAACGAUGCGUAGCCGACCUGAGAGGGUGAUCGGCCACACUGGAACUGAGACACGGUCCAGACUCCUACGGGAGGCAGCAGUAGGGAAUCUUCCGCAAUGGGCGAAAGCCUGACGGAGCAACGCCGCGUGAGUCAUGAAGGUCUUCGGAUCGUAAAACUCUGUUAUUAGGGAAGAACAAAUGUGUAAGUAACUAUGCACGUCUUGACGGUACCUAAUCAGAAAGCCACGGCUAACUACGUG
rnacentral:rRNA from 1 species